rnacentral:rRNA from 1 species
AUGCCUGCCUCCAUCGCCUUCGGUCGGUUCGAUGACUCCUUCAGCUUGGCCUCUUUCAAGGCCUACAUCGCCGAGUUCAUCUCCACCCUCAUCUUCGUCUUCGCCGGCGUCGGCUCUGCCAUCGCCUACUCCAAGGUGAGCGGCGGCGCGCCGCUUGACCCAUCCGGGCUGAUCGCCGUGGCGAUCUGCCACGGGUUCGGGCUGUUCGUCGCGGUCGCCGUCGGCGCCAACAUCUCCGGCGGCCAUGUGAACCCUGCCGUCACCUUCGGCCUCGCCCUCGGCGGCCAGAUCACCAUCCUCACCGGCAUCUUCUACUGGGUUGCCCAGCUCCUCGGCGCCAUCGUCGGCGCCUUCCUCGUCCAGUUCUGCACCGGCGUGGCGACCCCUACACACGGGCUUUCCGGCGUGGGCGCCUUCGAGGGCGUCGUGAUGGAGAUCAUCGUCACCUUCGGGCUCGUCUACACCGUGUACGCCACCGCCGCCGACCCCAAGAAGGGGUCCCUCGGCACCAUCGCUCCAAUCGCCAUCGGCUUCAUCGUCGGCGCCAACAUCCUCGUCGCCGGCCCCUUCUCCGGCGGGUCCAUGAACCCUGCACGCUCCUUCGGCCCCGCCGUUGCCAGCGGCGACUUCACCAACAUCUGGAUCUACUGGGCCGGCCCGCUCAUCGGCGGUGGCCUCGCCGGCGUCGUCUACCGGUACCUGUACAUGUGCGACGACCACACCGCCGUCGCCGGCAACGACUACUAA